rnacentral:misc_RNA from 1 species
GAUGAAGACGUAGCGAAAUGCGAUAAUUAAUGUGAAUUACAGAAUUCCGUGAAUCAUCGAGUCUUUGAACGCACAUUGCGCCUCAUGGCAUUCCGUGAGGCAUGCCCAUCUCAGCGUUAGAAAAUAUUCUCAAAUUUUAGUUUUGUGCUAAAAUUUGGAUCAUGUCAAGGAAGCUAUUACUAUUAUUGUGAUCGCUCUUUGGAAAUUGAUAGGUCUUUGAGUUGCUACUCAUAGAACGUGAUGAAUCUUUCUUCGUUCUAUUGUAAUUCACUCUGGUAGUCCUAAAACUUGUAUGCCUGUGGCAUAUCUUGUAAUUUGACCUGAGAUUGGGUAGGGAUACCCGCUGAACUUAAGCAUAUCAAUAAGCGGAGGA